AACCAAGAAUUUCAUAUACAGCUAAACUAAGCUUUCUAAAUGAAGGAGAAAUGAGAUCAUUUACAGACAAGCAAAUUCUGAGGUGAUGGCAUCAGCUGAGAAGGGAAGGAAGCCCAUGAGAGGACACUGAAGAAGGAGUGAGCAGACAAUAAGAAGCCCACAGAAGACAGAGAAGGAACAACUAGAGGGAGAAGCCAAGGCAG
rnacentral:lncRNA from 10 species